CGAUGAACCACUUCGGUGGGGAUUAGUGGCGAACGGGUGAGUAACACGUGGGCAAUCUGCCCUUCACUCUGGGACAAGCCCUGGAAACGGGGUCUAAUACCGGAUACUGACCCUCGCAGGCAUCUGCGAGGUUCGAAAGCUCCGGCGGUGAAGGAUGAGCCCGCGGCCUAUCAGCUUGUUGGUGAGGUAAUGGCUCACCAAGGCGACGACGGGUAGCCGGCCUGAGAGGGCGACCGGCCACACUGGGACUGAGACACGGCCCAGACUCCUACGGGAGGCAGCAGUGGGGAAUAUUGCACAAUGGGCGAAAGCCUGAUGCAGCGACGCCGCGUGAGGGAUGACGGCCUUCGGGUUGUAAACCUCUUUCAGCAGGGAAGAAGCGAAAGUGACGGUACCUGCAGAAGAAGCGCCGGCUAACUACGUGCCAGCAGCCGCGGUAAUACGUAGGGCGCAAGCGUUGUCCGGAAUUAUUGGGCGUAAAGAGCUCGUAGGCGGCUUGUCACGUCGGUUGUGAAAGCCCGGGGCUUAACCCCGGGUCUGC
rnacentral:rRNA from 1 species